UCUAAACAUCUCUAAUUCGAGGGUGGAACUAAAAUUGGAAGACGAGUUAAGGUGAGGGCAAGGGCAAAUCUGCAAUCUUGUGUGGUUAUGACGUCAGUUGAGCUGAGGGUCGAUAUUAACUUUUUAAAAAUGAUUCAGCACAUUAGGCCGGAAAUUUGAGUUACUCCUAUGAAUUUUCAUGAACAAAAAACGAGAAAAGAUUCGUAGGAAUUGAAAUCGAAUCCAUUCGCAUACAACAAUAUUAUCACUCUGUACCACUGCACGCUUGCCUUCUUCCUUCUCCUAAUGGUUUUCCUCUCUCCGCCGAAGAAUUUCCAAGCAAAAUGGUUUCGACGACGGCCCUAGCUUAAUCUUCAGCCUCCAUGGGAGACGGCAAUAACUCCAACAGAGGCCUUGUCUCCGCCAACGCCGCCAACCGGAACAACAACAACAAUAACGGCAGCCACCACAAGAAGCCCGAGUGGCUGCAGCAGUACGAUCUAAUCGGGAAGAUCGGCGAGGGAACCUAUGGCCUCGUGUUCCUUGCCAAAAUCAAACCCCCUUCACCUAGUCGCGGCAAGUCAAUUGCUAUAAAAAAAUUCAAGCAAUCCAAGGACGGUGAUGGGGUCUCCCCAACUGCCAUUCGAGAAAUUAUGCUACUGCGGGAAAUUUCACACGAGAAUGUCGUCAAGCUUGUAAAUGUUCAUAUCAACCAUGCAGAUAUGUCGUUGUAUCUAGCUUUUGAUUAUGCUGAACAUGAUCUCUACGAAAUCAUUAGACAUCAUCGGGACAAGGCUAACCAUCCCCUUAAUCAGUAUACCGUUAAAUCCUUGCUCUGGCAACUUCUCAAUGGUUUGAAUUAUCUCCACAGUAAUUGGAUUAUUCACCGCGAUUUAAAGCCAUCAAAUAUUUUGGUUAUGGGUGAAGGGGAAGAGCAAGGAGUGGUUAAAAUAGCUGAUUUUGGACUUGCAAGAAUAUACCAAGCUCCCUUGAAGCCAUUAUUUGAAAAUGGAGUGGUUGUCACCAUUUGGUAUAGAGCACCUGAACUUCUCCUUGGAGCAAAGCACUACACUAGUGCUGUUGAUAUGUGGGCUGUUGGAUGCAUUUUUGCUGAGCUUUUGACGUUGAAGCCAUUAUUUCAAGGUCAAGAAGUCAAAGGGCCUCCGAAUCCUUUCCAGCUUGAUCAACUGGACAAGAUUUUUAAGGUUUUAGGCCAUCCCACGAUUGAGAAAUGGCCAACACUGGCUAAUCUUCCAAAUUGGCAACAAGAUGUACAGCACAUUCAGGGGCAUAAAUAUGACAAUGCUGGAUUAUAUAAUGUUGUACACCUGUCUCCAAAAAGUCCUGCAUACGAUCUUCUGUCCAAAAUGCUGGAGUAUGAUCCUCGAAAGCGUAUAACGGCAGCCCAAGCCCUAGAGCAUGAGUACUUUCGUUUAGAACCUCUUCCGGGAUACAAUGCUCUGGUACCAAACCAACCUGGAGAGAAGGUCAUUAAUUAUCCAACUCGCCCUGUCGACACAACCACAGAUUUCGAGGGAACAACCAGCCUUCAACCUUCACAAACGGUAACAUCUGGAAAUGCUGUAAACAUGCAAGGUGGUCAUAUGGCAAGAUCUGUCCCUCGGGCAAUGGGAGUCGGCAUGCCGAGGAUGCCGCAUCAGAGCAUGGCUGCCUAUAAUCUUGCUUCCCAGGCUGGGAUGGGUAUGAAUCCUGGUGGCAUCCCUAUGCAGCGAGGUGUUUCUUCCCAAGCUCAUCAGCAACAACAGUUAAGGAGAAAAGAUCCUGGAAUGGGAAUGCCAGGUUAUCCUCCCCAGCAGAAACAACAAAGACGUUACUGAGUGACUCCAUUUUGGGAUGGAAUGUCUGCACAAGAGGAUUGAUGAAUGAUGCCAUGAUCACAUAAGUAAAAGCCAAGUACAUGAGAGAAAUAUUCACCAAACAUUAUCAGUGCGCAAGGUUUUGAGAGACAUUAAAUUGAGUUUGCAUUUUAGCAUGAAAAGCACAAAAAUGAGACAACUUUGAACGAUUUUUAUUACAAUAUAACCAAGUCACACGAGAGUAAUCGUCAACAAAAGUAACAAUAUAAUGAAAACUUCUUUGGGACACAACUAAACAGGGAUCCUAAAUAUCAUAAUGAACUAACUCAAAAGGAGCACUAGUUUGUCUAUCUAGAACUGGAACUAGACAAUGAAAUUUAGCGAACUAACACGAAUCAUAAUUCUAAGAUGACAAGGAAUGAAAUUUUGGACAAAUUUUCUUUAACACGAACAAAGAUGGAUGACCCAAAUGACAACGAACUUCGAACGAAGAUGUAACUCUAGAGCAAGCUACAACUUUUGGUAUCUGGAGGUCAUGUUCUUUAUCAAUGAUCUUCGACGAUCCUGGAACAAGCAAUAACCAGAAGGAAUGGGAAAAAACAGCUCAGAUCACAAGUAAAGCUGGCUAAUAGAAAUUAAAUUAAAGGACCAUUGAGGCACGUGUAAUACAUAGGACAAAGAAAGGAUGGAGUGAGAGAAGUGGUGCCGGAUCUAAGCAUAGAGGAGGUUGAUCCAUCUGUCAAGGUGACAGAAGGGAAUGAGGUAGGGGACAAAGGUGUAGAAAAUAAGUUAGAACUACCUGUCAUAUAAGCGGUGGCACUAUAGUCAAUGACCCAUGGGUAGAUGAUGUAAGAAGACAUUUUGUAUUACCCGUCUUGGCAACGAUGGCAAUAGAAUCCGAUGAGGAAGAUGCCUGCAAGGGUUCUUGGAAUACUUGAAAUUUAGCAAGUCGCCAGUAGAAUUGGUAACAGAUUGCUCACCCAUAUUAUUGGUGGAAGUUAUCUGAGCAUGUUGAGAUUGUUGAGUCUUAUACAACUACUUUUGACAAUCACAUUUUAGAUGUUCGGACUUGCGGACAAUCGCUUGAGAGUCAGAUUUUUUAAUAUCAAAACUAGGCUUCUGAAAAUGGUUAGUCAUCCCCAAAGUACCCCGAGAGUUACUGUUCUUGCUGAUUAGAGCUCUACUAGGUUGAGGAACAUGUAGACUAGAUUGGGACCUCUUAAUAUGAAGAACACGACUGGAGGCCUCAUCUAAUGACAGAAUCUUUCCAAAUUCAAGUAAUAGUCCAUUAAAAAAUAUCAUAACAACCAUCUUUUCUUGUUGAACUUGUUGAACCUUGACAUCGGAGCUAAAAGGUAAUAGGAAAGCAAUUCUGGCAGCAGUCUUCUUAAGCCUCAUAAAGUAGCUUGUAACAGAUCCUGCCUUCUGUUUAGCUCGAAAAAGUUGCAUAUCGACAUCAAACAUCAGAUGAACUUGUUCUUUUCCAAGAGUAUAACAAGUCAAAACUCUUGGAGCUUUUCACUGAAUCACAAUGAUCUACCAAACGGUCCAAACCAACAUCACUUUCAAUAGAACUCUUAAUUUGAAGAUAAAGUCGAGCAUCGUCAUGAAGCUAGGCUUUUUUCUUAUCAUCUAUUGGUGGCUCCUCAGUCACAUGAUGAUCCAUAUUUGUACCAAGUAAAACUGAAUCGUGCGACACCAAUCAUAAUAGUUAUAUCCAUUUAAUUUGUGUUUAGUUAUCUUUGAUGUUAGGGGAGUAACAAUAGACACAACCAUAAGCUUUAUGUCACCCAUUACAAGUUAACCAACAUUUUUUAAAUCUCACAAGUGAAGAAGACAAAUUAAAAACAAAAUCAAGGAUGAACUAAAGAACAGAACAACUCGAAAUUGAAACAGAAACAACAACAAACCCUAAGCACGAUAGGGUAUUUUCGAAUAACUUUACACCCCGAGUAGAUUUCAAUGAUACCAAAUGCACGGACCAGCUGAAAAAUACAAAUCGAGACGAACCUAACUGACAAAAACAAAAACGGAGCUUCCACAUGCUCCCAGGUGCCGGCACGUGGAGACAGAACACUCCUAUUGGCUGCACAUGAACCUCACGUGUAGUUGUUUCCAGCAAACUGUGAUGGCAGACAGCAGUGACGAUCCUCCUGAGAUGGGCGAUGUUUACCAGUGGUUCCAGGAAAGUCUCAGAUUACUUCUCGGCUAAGAAGCACGGACACUUCAGUUUGGAUAGCGUGUCUGUGUUCGACACAUGUCCGACACUUGGACACUCUGACACUUGGUGGACACCUAGUGGACGCAUGCUUGUCCAACAAAUGUAUUAAACAUGCAUAGAACACUUAUUGAGUAAAAAGACUAAAAAGACACGUAUAUGACAAUAAUAGUAACUUUUGAGCAUGGAAUACAUCAAGUAAGUCUUUUAAGCAUAUAAAUGCAUCAAUUCAUUUACUAUGAA